rnacentral:pre_miRNA from 1 species
GGGAGGUGUGAUCCCGUGCUUCCUGGGAGGUGUGAUCCCGUGCUUCCUGGGAGGUGUGAUCCUGUGCUUGCU